CUCAUAUUAAGGAACUAAUGAUGCAAUAGAAAGAGAAGUAUUGAUAUGUUGCAGUACUGUGUGACAGACUGAUGACAAAACUGGCUGUACCUCUUUUCUGCAGGAGAUGUUCUGCAAGCUAGCCGAUGAACUCCAGUUAUCUUCAUCUUUAGUUUUUGCCUCUUACUCCUGCAUAUAAUGUCCUGAGAGCUCAACCAACAGAGAUAAGUGCAAAAAUCAUCCAUAUAUUUCCUUAAUUUCAAAUAACUCCUCUGUGGACUGUUAUAUAAAUGUAUAUGACUCUGACUCCACUGGUAAGUAAUAACAAAUGUGACAAUAAAGGUAAGUUUCUUGGGGGAGGGUCUCUCAUUCUUUUUUUUUUUAUUAUUUUAAUCAGAGAAGUUAUGGUACUGCUAAAUUUAAAUUCUCCUGAGUCUUUCUAAAAGAUCUGUCUAUAAAAGUGUCUUUUAACUCUGUUUGUUUUCAUCAUUUUGGCCUGAAAAUUUUAUUCUUUACCUUCUUGAGAAGUCAGUAAACCACAUAUCAAACCUGUUCUUCUAUACAACAAAUCGGAAAUACCUUACAGGCUCUUCUUAGGCAGUACCUGUCAAGAUAUCAGAAGUGAAUGGCUUAGGAGAUUCAUUCACUCCCCAGAGCAGCCUGGGGCACAAGGGGAUGUGUCUGAAAUAUAAUCUGGUUUACCUGUCCUGUUGAUGCAUUAUUCCUCCAUUGUUGACUGUGUUGAGGUGACGGUGUCAAUAUAAUUUGACUGUACUGAGAAGGGCUUUUUGUUGUCACAGGACCAUGUCAGAUUGGUCAUCUUUGUUUGUAACAAACUUGCCUCUCUGCAAGCUUAUUAGUCACAAUUUGUUCCAGAAUAGACUGACAUUAAAUAAUUCUCAGUGCCAAUGGAAGAGGGAUGGAGUGCCCUGUGCGUGAAAGAGCCACAUCAGCUAUCUGUUUGGAAUGGAAAAUUUCCUUGUCCUCCUGCGUUCUCUAUAUUCUGAGUUGUGGUAAUGGGGUUUACCACCUCUUGGACAUGUUACCGGUUUGCUCUUCUUGCGUCUCAAGCUGGUUGCGUCAGACUGAUCACCAAGCAAGACCAAGGGAGCAGCACAGAUGUGGAAACAAACACAAGGCAGAGAGAGGACCAGAGUGCACAGCAACUACUAAAACUUAUACUGUUGCUGAGAGAAAUGUCUGUGGACAUGCAGCCUCAGUUAAACAUUUAUGA
rnacentral:lncRNA from 1 species